rnacentral:rRNA from 1 species
AGAGUUUGAUCAUGGCUCAGGACGAACGCUGGCGGCGUGCUUAAUACAUGCAAGUCGAACGGAAAGGCCCUUCGGGGUGCUCGAGUGGCGAACGGGUGAGUAACACGUGGGUGAUCUGCCCUGCACCUUGGGAUAAGCCUGGGAAACUGGGUCUAAUACCGGAUAGGACUACGCGAUGCAUGUCGUGUGGUGGAAAGCUUUUGCGGUGUGGGAUGGGCCCGCGGCCUAUCAGCUUGUUGGUGGGGUGAUGGCCUACCAAGGCGACGACGGGUAGCCGGCCUGAGAGGGUGUCCGGCCACACUGGGACUGAGAUACGGCCCAGACUCCUACGGGAGGCAGCAGUGGGGAAUAUUGCACAAUGGGCGCAAGCCUGAUGCAGCGACGCCGCGUGAGGGAUGACGGCCUUCGGGUUGUAAACCUCUUUCAGCACAGACGAAGCGCAAGUGACGGUAUGUGCAGAAGAAGGACCGGCCAACUACGUGCCAGCAGCCGCGGUAAUACGUAGGGUCCGAGCGUUGUCCGGAAUUACUGGGCGUAAAGAGCUCGUAGGUGGUUUGUCGCGUUGUUCGUGAAAACUCACAGCUUAACUGUGGGCGUGCGGGCGAUACGGGCAGACUUGAGUACUGCAGGGGAGACUGGAAUUCCUGGUGUAGCGGUGGAAUGCGCAGAUAUCAGGAGGAACACCGGUGGCGAAGGCGGGUCUCUGGGCAGUAACUGACGCUGAGGAGCGAAAGCGUGGGGAGCGAACAGGAUUAGAUACCCCGGUAGUCC